UACGGAGGAUUCAAGCGUUAUCCGGAUUUAUUGGGUUUAAAGGGUGCGUAGGCGGUUUGAUAAGUUGGAGGUGAAAUGUUAGGGCUUAACCCUGAAACUGCCUCCAAUACUGUUGGACUAGAGAGUAGUUGCGGUAGGCGGAAUGUAUGGUGUAGCGGUGAAAUGCUUAGAGAUCAUACAGAACACCGAUUGCGAAGGCAGCUUACCAAACUAUAUCUGACGUUGAGGCACGAAAGCGUGGGGAGCAAACAGG
rnacentral:rRNA from 1 species